rnacentral:rRNA from 1 species
GGCAGAGUUUGAUCCUGGCUCAGAUUGAACGCUGGCGGCAUGCCUUACACAUGCAAGUCGAACGGCAGCACGGGAGCAAUCCUGGUGGCGAGUGGCGAACGGGUGAGUAAUGUAUCGGAACGUACCUUUCAGUGGGGGAUAACGUAGCGAAAGUUACGCUAAUACCGCAUAUUCUGUGAGCAGGAAAGCAGGGGAUCGCAAGACCUUGCGCUGAUUGAGCGGCCGAUAUCAGAUUAGCUAGUUGGUGAGGUAAAGGCUCACCAAGGCGACGAUCUGUAGCGGGUCUGAGAGGAUGAUCCGCCACACUGGAACUGAGACACGGUCCAGACUCCUACGGGAGGCAGCAGUGGGGAAUUUUGGACAAUGGGCGCAAGCCUGAUCCAGCCAUGCCGCGUGAGUGAAGAAGGCCUUCGGGUUGUAAAGCUCUUUCAGCCGGGAAGAAAACGCAUGGGUUAAUACCCUGUGUGGAUGACGGUACCGGAAUAAGAAGCACCGGCUAACUACGUGCCAGCAGCCGCGGUAA